rnacentral:rRNA from 1 species
CCCUUAUCCUUUGUUGCCAGCGGUUAGGCCGGGAACUCAAAGGAGACUGCCAGUGAUAAACUGGAGGAAGGUGGGGAUGACGUCAAGUCAUCAUGGCCCUUACGACCAGGGCUACACACGUGCUACAAUGGCAUAUACAAAGAGAAGCGACCUCGCGAGAGCAAGCGGACCUCAUAAAGUAUGUCGUAGUCCGGAUUGGAGUCUGCAACUCGACUCCAUGAAGUCGGAAUCGCUAGUAAUCGUAGAUCAGAAUGCUACGGUGAAUACGUUCCCGGGCCUUGUACACACCGCCCGUCACACCAUGGGAGUGGGUUGCAAAAGAAGUAGGUAGCUUAACCUUCGGGAGGGCGCUUACCACUUUGUGAUUCAUGACUGGGGUGAAGUCGUAACAAGGUAACCGUAGGGGAACCUGCGGUUGGAUCACCUCCUUA